rnacentral:lncRNA from 10 species
CUUUGCCUGAUGAUCCAUGGGGAAUCUUCCAUUCGGUGCCUUUCAGAGAGGUUGGUUUGUGGGUGCAGGAGCACAGGCCACAAGCAGGGGCCUGAGUGGCUGGAAACCACCCCGAGACCUGGCAUUCCUGAGCUGCUCCGUUCUGCCAGGAAACUGCCCAGCUGGAUAGAGACAGACAGGGAGUUGCUCUUCUGGUCCUCAGAGGAAAGGAAGUACAGUGAUGUCAGCAAUGACCACCACUGACAUCUCUACCUGGUCAAAUAGCCAAACUGUCCCAAAGGAGAGCCUUGGACUCAGAGUUGGAGUGCACCUAGAAGAGAUGUUGCUGCUAAUUUGAGAAUGGGUUUGGUCUGAUGGUAUCUGGGCCUUCCAGAGUUCUGAAACAGGUGCAGAAAUUGAACAGUGAGAGAAUAAGUGGCCCAGAGUUUCACAGAAGCCAGAGUACAAAGACAACUGGAGAAUACACACGUAGAAUAAAUAAGCUGAGAAUAAUGGAAAGUUGGAUGAGAGAAUUGACAUUCCACAAAGGUUUUACUUCUCCAAAAAGUUGUUCAGAUCAUCUUGGGUCAUCUGGAUUUUGGCCAUUUCGUCACAGG